AGUGAACGCUGGCGGUAGGCCUAACACAUGCAAGUCGAACGGCAGCACAGUAAGAGCUUGCUCUUACGGGUGGCGAGUGGCGGACGGGUGAGGAAUACAUCGGAAUCUACUUUUUCGUGGGGGAUAACGUAGGGAAACUUACGCUAAUACCGCAUACGACCUACGGGUGAAAGCAGGGGAUCUUCGGACCUUGCGCGAUUGAAUGAGCCGAUGUCGGAUUAGCUAGUUGGCGGGGUAAAGGCCCACCAAGGAGACGAUCCGUAGCUGGUCUGAGAGGAUGAUCAGCCACACUGGAACUGAGACACGGUCCAGACUCCUACGGGAGGCAGCAGUGGGGAAUAUUGGACAAUGGGCGCAAGCCUGAUCCAGCCAUACCGCGUGGGUGAAGAAGGCCUUCGGGUUGUAAAGCCCUUUUGUUGGGAAAGAAAAGCAGCAGGUUAAUACCCCGCUGUUCUGACGGUACCCAAAGAAGAAGCACCGGCGAACUUCG
rnacentral:rRNA from 1 species